AUGUUGUUCUGUUUAAACUUACAGGCAGCAUUCUUGUUCCAGCUGCAGACAAGAUAUUUACAAAGUCAGGGCAUCAUCAUGCCUCAAGUUAUUACCGGGAUUGCAGCGAAUGUCAUCAACGUGGGCAUGAAUGCCCUCUUGCUGUAUGCCCUGGACCCCAGAGUGGUAGCAAAAGCUUGUGGAAGGUGGCCUGUUUAUUUUCAUCUGGAAGGAAUAUACCUGCGGAUAAUGAUGACUUUUCUUCGCAGAGGAUCUGCCUGGGCCAACACCACUUCCAGUUCUCCCUGUCUGCUCUGCUUUUCCUGUAUAUGUGGUGGAAAAAAGUCUACGUCGACACCUGGGGAGGUUGGACAAGGGAGUGCUUCCAGGAGUGGGGCUCCUACAUCUGCCUGGUUAUUCCCAGUAUGUUCAUGGUGUGCAUUGAGCGGUGGACCUUUGAGAUCGGAAACUUCCUUGCAGGUUUGUCAGCAGUCCAGCCGAAAGCUGUCCUCAGCCCGGCCAGUCAGGUCUCCAGAGAUUCCCAGGAAACUCCAGCUUUGCUGCUUUGUCCUGCCUCAUUUCAUUAGGCUCUCAUGGAGGUUUUCAAUAUAGGUUUAAGCCCUCAUCCCAUCGUUAGCAGACUCAGGCUGGGUGGGGUUUUGGCUCUACUGCAGCACCCGUCAUUUUGUAAGUGAGGAAAGGGAAGCUGCUGGUCAGAGGUUUGCCAGAGGUCACGAACUGAAGGAACAAAAGCCCGACCCCAGGCCUCAUGAAGUAGCUUGUGCCUCAGCUGACUUUGGCCAGGCAUCAAGCCAAAUUGGUUUUUACUUUUUAUUUAUUUAUUUUUUUGAGACAGAGACUCGCUCUGUCACCCAGGCUGGCGUACAGUGGCGCGAUCUCGGCUCACUGCACCCUCUGCCUCCCUAGUUCAAGCGAUUCUCCUGCCUUAGCCUCCCAAGUAGCUGAGACUAUAGCCAUGCACUACCAUGCCUGGCUAAUUUUUGUAUUUUUGGUAGAGAUGGGGUUUCACCAUGUUGGCCAGGCUGGUCUGGAACUCCUGACCUCGAGUGAUCCACCUGCCUUGGCGUCCCAAAGUGCUGGGAUUAUAGGCAUGAGCCACCGCACCAGCCCAAGCCAAAUUUCUUUUUUUUUUUUUUUUUUUUUUUGAGAUGGAGUCUGGCUCUGUCGCCCAGGCUUGGAGUGCAGUGGCCGGAUCUCAGCUCACUGCAAGCUCCGCCUCCCGGGUUUACGCCAUUCUCCUGCCUCUGCCUCCCAAAUUUCUAAGAGUUGUAUGUACACAGGGCGAC
rnacentral:lncRNA from 10 species